rnacentral:rRNA from 1 species
AUUGAACGCUGGCGGCAUGCCUUACACAUGCAAGUCGAACGGUAACAGGUUAAGCUGACGAGUGGCGAACGGGUGAGUAAUAUAUCGGAACGUGCCCAGUCGUGGGGGAUAACUGCUCGAAAGAGCAGCUAAUACCGCAUACGACCUGAGGGUGAAAGCGGGGGAUCGCAAGACCUCGCGCGAUUGGAGCGGCCGAUAUCAGAUUAGGUAGUUGGUGGGGUAAAGGCCCACCAAGCCAACGAUCUGUAGCUGGUCUGAGAGGACGACCAGCCACACUGGGACUGAGUACACGGCCCUAGACUCCUACGGGAGGCAGCAGUGGGGGAAUUUUGGACAAUGGGCGCAAGCCUGAUCCAGCCAUGCCGCGUGC